rnacentral:misc_RNA from 1 species
GGAAGAAAAAGUCGUAACAAGGUUUCCGUAGGUGAACCUGCGGAAGGAUCAUUCAUAAUAAGUGUUUUAUGGCACUUUUUUAAAUCCAUAUCCACCUUGUGUGCAAUGUCAGGGUUGAUUUUUCUCUCGAGAGGAUCAACCCCAAACAUCAACUAUAUCUCAACUCUUUGUCUGAAAAAUAUUAUGAAUAAAACAAUUCAAAAUACAACUUUCAACAACGGAUCUCUUGGCUCUC